UACGGGGGGGGCAAGCGUUGUUCGGAAUUACUGGGCGUAAAGGGCUCGUAGGCGGUCAACUAAGUCGGAUGUGAAAUCCCCAGGCUCAACUUGGGAACUGCAUCCGAUACUGGAUGGCUUGAAUUCGGGAGAGGGAUGCGGAAUUCCAGGUGUAGCGGUGAAAUGCGUAGAUAUCUGGAGGAACACCGGUGGCGAAGGCGGCAUCCUGGACCGGCAUUGACGCUGAGGCGCGAAAGCCAGGGGAGCAAACGGG
rnacentral:rRNA from 1 species